UCCCUGGUGGCUCAGAUGGUAUAGAAUCUGCUUUCAAUGCGGGAGACCUGGGUUCAAUCCCCAGAUUGGGAA
rnacentral:tRNA from 1 species